rnacentral:rRNA from 1 species
UAGGGGAGCCGGAGGGAAACCGAGUCUUAAUUGGGCGUUAAGUUGCAGGGUAUAGACCCGAAACCCGGUGAUCUAGCCAUGGGCAGGUUGAAGGUUGGGUAACACUAACUGGAGGACCGAACCGACUAAUGUUGAAAAAUUAGCGGAUGACCUGUGGCUGGGGGUGAAAGGCCAAUCAAACCGGGAGAUAGCUGGUUCUCCCCGAAAGCUAUUUAGGUAGCGCCUCGUGAAUUCAUCUCCGGGGGUAGAGCACUGUUUCGGCUAGGGGGCCAUCCCGGCUUACCAACCCGAUGCAAACUGCGAAUACCGGAGAAUGUUAUCACGGGAGACACACGGCGGGUGCUAACGUCCGUCGUGAAGAGGGAAACAACCCAGACCGCCAGCUAAGGUCCCAAAGUCAUGGUUAAGUGGGAAACGAUGUGGGAAGGCCCAGACAGCCAGGAUGUUGGCUUAGAAGCAGCCAUCAUUUAAAGAAAGCGUAAUAGCUCACUGGUCGAGUCGGCCUGCGCGGAAGAUGUAACGGGGCUAAACCAUGCACCGAAGCUGCGGCAGCGACACUAUGUGUUGUUGGGUAGGGGAGCGUUCUGUAAGCCUGUGAAGGUGUGCUGUGAGGCAUGCU